rnacentral:rRNA from 1 species
CCUACGGGUGGCAGCAGUGAGGAAUAUUGGUCAAUGGGGGGAACCUUGAUGCAGCAACGCCGCGUGGGUGAAGAAGUACUCCGGUAUGUAAAGCCCUGUCAGCAGGGAAGAAAAUGACGGUACCUGACCAAGAAGCCCCGGCUAACUACGUGCCAGCAGCCGCGGUAAUACGUAGGGGGCAAGCGUUAUCCGGAUUUACUGGGUGUAAAGGGCGUGCAGCCGGGAAGACAAGUCAGAUGUGAAAUCCCGCGGCUCAACCGCGGAACUGCAUUUGAAACUGUUUUUCUUGAGUACCGGAGAGGUCAUCGGAAUUCCUUGUGUAGCGGUGAAAUGCGUAGAUAUAAGGAAGAACACCAGUGGCGAAGGCGGAUGACUGGACGGCAACUGACGGUGAGGCGCGAAAGCGUGGGGAGCAAACAGGAUUAGAUACCCCUGUAGUC